rnacentral:rRNA from 1 species
AGCCCUCCGAAAGGAGGAUUAAUACCGAAUGUGGACAUAUUUUCGCAUGUUUAUAUGUCUAAAGCAGCGAUGCGCUUUAGGAUGGGCUUGCGGCCUAUCAGCUAGUUGGUGUGGGUAACGGCCUACCAAGGCGACGACGGGUAGCUGGUCUGAGAGGAUGGUCAGCCGGAUUGGGACUGAGACACGGCCCAGACUCCUACGGGGGGCAGCAAUUAGGAAUCUUGCGCAAUGGGCGAAAGCCUGACGCAGCGACGCCGCGUGACUGAUGAAGUCUUUCGGGAUGUAAAGGUCUUUUGCAGGGGACGAAGGAAGUGACGGUACCCUGCGAAUAAGCCCCGGCUAACUACGUGCCAGCAGCCGCGGUAAUACGUAGGGGGCGAGCGUUGUCCGAAUUCACUGGGCGUAAAGCGCGCGUAGGCGGGUUUUUAAGUUGUGGGUGAAAUUCCGAGGCUCAACCUCGUAACUGCCUGCAAAACUGGGAGCCUUGAGGUAUGGAGAGGGAAGUGGAAUUCCUGGUGUAGCGGUGAAAUGCGUAGAUAUCAGGAGGAACACCCGUGGCGAAGGCGGCUUCCUGGCCAUAUCCUGACGCUGAGGUGCGAAAGCUAGGGUAGCGAACGGGAUUAGAUACCCCGGUAGUCCUAGCCGUAAACGAUG